GCCGGGGUGGGGUAGUGGUAUCCUAUGGGACUGUGGAUCCCUCGACCCGGGUCCGAUUCCCGGUCCCGGCC
rnacentral:tRNA from 1 species